GUUGAGUUACACCAUGGUUAAACUUGGUUAAACCGUUUGGUUUUCGACCACUAGGACCCGGGUUCGAUUCCCGCAUUGGACA